rnacentral:rRNA from 1 species
AUUGAACGCUGGCGGCAUGCCUAACACAUGCAAGUCGAACGAGUGGCGGACGGGUGAGUAAUGUCUCGGAAACUGCCUGAUGGCGGGGGAUAACUACUGGAAACGGUAGCUAAUACCGCAUACCAUCAGAUCUGCCCAUAUCGGAGUAGCUUGUUGGUGGGGUAACGGCUCACCAAGGCGACGAUCCCUAGCUGGUCUGAGAGGAUGACCAGCCACACUGGAACUGAGACACGGCCCAGACUCCUACGGGAGGCAGCAGGGGGGAAUAUUGGACAAUGGGGGCAAGCCUGAUGCAGCCAUGCCGCGUGUAUGAAGAAGGCCUUCGGGUUGUAAAGUACUUUCAGCGGGGAGGCGUUACCCGCAGAAGAAGCACCGGCUAACUACGUGCCAGCAGCCGCGGUAAUUC